rfam:Aeromonas molluscorum 848 Cont232, whole genome shotgun sequence.
UCACCACCAUCAUCAUCCCGAAUAGUCUUUCAGGAGGUUGGCUGCUGGAAGACACUUAACAGGUGACUUCCAAAAGGACCGCAAGAUUCAUAAACCCUCGGAAGCACACACUUCCGAGGGUUUUU